rnacentral:rRNA from 1 species
UACGUAGGGAGCAAGCGUUGUCCGGAAUUAUUGGGCGUAAAGCGCACGUAGGCGGCUUUGUAAGUCGGAUGUGAAAUCCCUCGGCUUAACCAAGGAAGUGCAUCCGAAACUACAGAGCUUGAGUACUUAAGAGGAUCGCGGAAUUCCCGGUGUAGAGGUGAAAUUCGUAGAUAUCGGGAGGAACACCAGUGGCGAAGGCGGCGAUCUGGGUCGAUACUGACGCUGAGGUGCGAAAGCGUGGGGAGCAAACAGG